AGAGUUUGAUCCUGGCUCAGGAUGAACGCUAGCGACAGGCCUAACACAUGCAAGUCGAGGGGCAGCGGGGAGGUAGCAAUACCUUUGCCGGCGACCGGCGCACGGGUGAGUAACACGUAUGCAAUCCACCUGUAACAGGGGGAUAACCCGGAGAAAUCCGGACUAAUACCCCAUAAUAUGGGCGCUCCGCAUGGAGAGUUCAUUAAAGAGAGCAAUUUUGGUUACAGACGAGCAUGCGCUCCAUUAGCCAGUUGGCGGGGUAACGGCCCACCAAAGCGACGAUGGAUAGGGGUUCUGAGAGGAAGGUCCCCCACAUUGGAACUGAGACACGGUCCAAACUCCUACGGGAGGCAGCAGUGAGGAAUAUUGGUCAAUGGUCGGCAGACUGAACCAGCCAAGUCGCGUGAGGGAAGACGGCCCUACGGGUUGUAAACCUCUUUUGUCGGAGAGUAAAGUACGCUACGUGUAGCGUAUUGCAAGUAUCCGAAGAAAAAGCAUCGGCUAACUCCGUGCCAGCAGCCGCGGUAAUACGGAGGAUGCGAGCGUUAUCCGGAUUUAUUGGGUUUAAAGGGUGCGUAGGCGGCACGCCAAGUCAGCGGUGAAAUUUCCGGGCUCAACCCGGAGUGUGCCGUUGAAACUGGCGAGCUAGAGUACACAAGAGGCAGGCGGAAUGCGUGGUGUAGCGGUGAAAUGCAUAGAUAUCACGCAGAACCCCGAUUGCGAAGGCAGCCUGCUAGGGUGAAACAGACGCUGAGGCACGAAAGCGUGGGUAUCGAACAGGAUUAGAUACCCUGGUAGUCCACGCAGUAAACGAUGAAUACUAACUGUUUGCGAUACAAUGUAAGCGGUACAGCGAAAGCGUUAAGUAUUCCACCUGGGGAGUACGCCGGCAACGGUGAAACUCAAAGGAAUUGAC
rnacentral:rRNA from 1 species